rnacentral:rRNA from 1 species
AGUGAAUAGAUACCCGGGUAGUCCCAGCUGUAAACGAUGCGCGUUAGGUGUAUCGGUGACCACGAGUCAUCGAGGUGCCGAAGAGAAAUCGUGAAACGUGCCGCCUGGGAAGUACGGUCGCAAGGCUGAAACUUAAAGGAAUUGGCGGGGGAGCACCACAACAGGUGGAGCCUGCGGUUAAUCGGACUCAACGCCGGAAAUCUCACCGGAUAAGACAGCUGGAUGAUAGUCGGGCUGAAGACUCUACUUGACUAGCUGAGAGGAGGUGCAUGGCCGUCGUCAGUUCGUACUGUGAAGCAUCCUGUUAAGUCAGGCAACGAGCGAGACCCACGCCAACAGUUGCCAGCUCGUCCUCCGGGAUGGUGGGGACGACUGUUGGGACCGCCUCUGCUAAAGAGGAGGAAGGAAUGGGCAACGGUAGGUCAGCAUG